rfam:Fukomys damarensis contig90628, whole genome shotgun sequence.
CCAAAGGCUCUUUUAAGAGCUAUGCAUGAUUUCUACCAAAGAGUUGU